rnacentral:tRNA from 1 species
GCAGGGUUAGCUCAACGGUGGAGCAGAGAUCUCAUAAAUCUUUGGUUGUUGGUUCGACUCCAACACCCUGUACCA